rnacentral:rRNA from 1 species
GACGAACGCUGGCGGCGUGCCUAAUACAUGCAAGUAGAACGAGUUGCGAACGGGUGAGUAACGCGUGGGAACCUGCCUCAUAGCGGGGGAUAACUACUGGAAACGGUGGCUAAUACGGCAUACAAUCAGUUGAGCCCAUAGGGGAUGAGCUGGUUGGUGGGGUAACGGCUCACCAAGGGGACGAUCCCUAGCUGGUCUGAGAGGAUGACCAGCCACACUGGAACUGAGACACGGUCCAGACUCCUACGGGAGGCAGCAGUGGGGAAUAUUGCACAAUGGGCGCAAGCCUGAUGCAGCCAUGCCGCGUGUAUGAAGAAGGCCUUCGGGUUGUAAAGUACUUUCAGCGGGGAGGCGUUACCCGCAGAAGAAGCACCGGCUAACUCCGUGCCAGCCGCCGCGGUAAUAC